GUUUUGCAAGGCCGGUAGUUUGAGGUACACUUCAGGUACACUUCAACGUUACCUCCCUUUUCAGUUCUGCAUGUGGAAACGGCUCAUGGUCAGAGAUGGGGAGCCAUUACAGAGAUGCAGAUCAACUCAGCAGUCACUCAGUGAGCAUUGGUUGGAGCAGUGAGGAACCCAUCAAAAAAUGAACCAUGGAUUCUGCUGCCAUUUGGAAGUACUGCCUCAGAACUCUGUGAACAUUUGUGAUGGAUCAACAGGCAUCUCAGGCUGUUGCACGUCAGCCGCAUCUGUGGAAGUCUGGAGCACGCUGUCAGGAGGACAGCAAUGAAUGUACAGCUGUACCACUUUAAUAUCAGAUGGGGCCGGCAGGUACGCUCAUGACGGAGAGAUGUGCUGCAGAAUUCCACCAAUUGUUUCAGGAAUGCACAUGCUAUUCUGUUACGCAACGAAAACCCAAGGAAGGCAAGGAUGCAUUACGUCUGAAUCAGAGUUAAGUGCAGAACGAACGGGUCCUGUUCAAAACAUCCCGUUACUGUGGUUUAUACAAAGAAUCUUCAAAUCCUGUUGCACCAGUGCAACAACUGCUGUUGCUUCCCCCUGCUCCAGGACUGAGUUUGCUGAUGGAGUUGCACUGUGCUAGAAAGCCACCCCACCCUCCAGAGAAGUAUUAGUUCCGUGAAGUACUUGUUCCAGCAUUCACAAAACCUAACAGCAGUCUAUCUUCUGCACCCUUUAAGUUAAGCACUGAAAAGGGUGACAGAAUGUGUAGUAGGCAUCAGAACAACAGAAAUUUAACUCCACAGAGGCUCAAAUUUAGUGAAUUCAGUAAUUUAUUCCAUCCUCCUUUGUGUGCACCUGCCAUAAAUUGGGUAUCUGUAUACACCAUUCCAUUAUCUUCAACCCCCCUGCAAAUACAUAGUUAUGACAGACACUCAGAAUGGUCAGACUGCUGUUGUACAGCCCUUCUAAUCAGAGCGAGGUGGUGCACUGUGAGAGACUGAUGGGAGCUCCAGGGCAGGUCUUCCAGCUGAAUGGGACUUUGCCCCAUGUUAAUUGCAUUCCUGCUUUUGCAGUUUUAUUUGCAGGACCUGC
rnacentral:lncRNA from 1 species